rnacentral:rRNA from 1 species
UACAGAGGUCUCAAGCGUUACUGAGAAUCACUGGGUUUAAAGGGUGCGUAGGUGGCACGUUAAGUCAGUUGUGAAAUCCCCGGGCUCAACCCGGGAACUGCUUCUGAUACUGGCGUGCUUGAGGCCAGUAGGGGUCACUAGAACUGACGGUGGAGCGGUGAAAUGCGUAGAUAUCGUCAGGAAUGCCGGUGGUGAAGACGGGUGACUGGGCUGGUUCUGACACUGAGGCACGAAAGCGUGGGGAGCGAACGGG